rnacentral:rRNA from 1 species
ACUCAAAUGAAUUGACGGGGACUUGCACAAGCGGUGGAUCAUGCGGCUCAAUUCGAUGGCAAACGAAGAACCUCACCAGGGUUUGAAACCCAGACGACCGGUUUAGGAAACUUUACCUUUCGCAAGACGGCUGGGCAGGUGAUGCAUGGUCGUCGUCAGUUCGUGGCUUGAGUUGUUCCCUUCAGUGGGGUAACGAACGCAACCCGCGUUGCCUGUUUUAUAUGUCAGGCGAGACUGCCCUCUCACGAGGGAGGAAGGUGCGGAUGACGCCAGAUCAGCAUGUCCCUCUGAUAUCCUGGGCUGCACGCAUGAUACAAUGGUCACAACAACGAGUUGCGACGGGGUAACCCUGAGCUAAUCUUUUAAAUGUGGCCCCAGUUCGGAUUGAGGUCUGCAACUCGACCUCAUGAAGCCGGAAUCGCUAGUAAUCGCGGGUCAGCUAUACCGCGGUGAAUACGUUCUCAAGUCUUGUACACACCGCCCGU